rnacentral:lncRNA from 1 species
GAGAUGGGGCUGAGAGGGGAGGCGGGAAGCAGAAGGGCGAGGCGAGGCGCGGGCCUGGAGGGGGAGCGAAGGGAGCCGGAUUCCCGCAGCCUCCGCCGGCUCGUCUCUCCCUCGGAAGAAUCCCGGGCUCCGCGCUGUCUCCCCCCCCCCGCUCCGCGGAGAUGGUCUGUCCCGGCCUUUCAAGGCGCCGCCGCUGAGGGGGAAGAAGGCGCUUCCUUCGAAGGCCUCUGGCGGCGGGAGGGGCGGGGGCUCCGCGCGGAGAAGCGCAGGGACGCCGAGGUAGGAGAAAUACCUGAGGGAGCCCGGCCUCUCGCGAGAAUGGGCCUCUUCCCGCGUGGUCGGGGGGGGGGCGCGGAGGCCGGCAAUGGCGGCCCAGGGGGGGCGCCUCCUCACGAGGAGGCGGGGGGGGUUGGGCUGGACGGGGCAGGCCAGCAACCACCACCCCGUCACUCUUCCAGGGGGAGCAGGGAUGUUUUGCAAACGCACCCAUUGUUUUUUUCCCUAGAGAGGAAAGAGUGGAGGUAAUAAUAAUAAUAAUAAUUAAUAAUAAUAAUAAUUUAUACCCCACCCAUCUGGCUGGGCUUCCCCAGCCACUCUGGGCGGCUUCCAACAAAAUAUUAAAAUAUUGUAAUACAUUAAAAGCUUCCCUGAACAGGGCUGCCUUCAGAUGUCUUCUAAAAGUCUGGUAGUUGUUGUUCUCUUUGACAUCUGGUGGGAGGGUGUUCCACAGUGCGGGAGCCACCACCGAGAAGGCCCUCUGCCUGGUUCCCUGUAACUUGGCUUCUCGCAGUGAGGGAACCGCCAGAAGGCCCUCAGCGCUGGACCUCAGUGUCCAGGCUGGACGAUGGGGGUGGAGACGCUCCUUCAGGUAUGCAGGAUGAGGGUUUGUGAGAAAGAAGCCAUAGAGCAGGCCCCUUAGAAACAGCCAGGCUUAUUAAAAUGCAGUAUGCUGAGCUGCAGGAAAUGCUAGUUCCUGUGCACAUUUCCUCCUUCCCCUGCGCAUAAUGUAUCCGGCUCCGUAAUGUAGGUAAGCUGUGUAUAGGCAUGCAGGUGGAGGUCUUUCCCUGCUUGCUUGGUUCCGGUUCCUUUGUGUCAUCUUGCCUUCAGUGUUGCCCGUUCAUUUUGGUUGCUAAUGAAUGUGGUGUCAGAGAAGGCAUAAAUCAAAUCCCCCCCCCCCCCUUGCAGCUUUUUCCUAUGCUAGGAAUGGUUCCUAGUGGGUUUGCUGUAUGUGGGACAUCUCUAGGUUUGUCUGCCUGUGGCUCCUUGAAAGUCGUUUGUGUAGCUUCUUAGUGUUCAUUUUAAGUUUUUUGAAAGCUCCUUCCAUGAUUGCAGAUUCAGGUAGGUAGCCGUGUUGGUCUGAAGCGGUGGAAAUAAAAACUAAAAUAAAAAAUUGUCCAGUAGCACCUUAUACCAGAACAAACUUAGUUGGUCUAUAAAGUGCUACUGAACAAUUUUUUAUUUUAAAAGCUCCUGUCUGUAUGAAGACUUAACGCUUCAGCGUACUGAAGGCACUAUUUUCACAAUGUGGGUAACAAAGAGCAAAGGACCAAACGACAUGAUUAAAUUAACAAUUGCCUGAAUGCUUUUUUAAAAAAGUAAAUUGGCGCAGACACCUGAGCAGUGGAUAAGGGAGGGUCCCCCACAAAGCAGUGGCAUAAUGUGUAGUUUGCUCCAAAGACUAAUCUCAUGCCAGUGCUUAGUUAAAUCAGCCUCUUUUCAAACUUCAAAAUUACUGGGUUGUUAUUCCUGGCAUAUUCCAUAUGUUUACUUGGACACACUGUUGUACAGACAACACUUUCUCUGAUUCAAGGAACGUGUGGGAAAGAACUGGUGUGUUAUAUGCACUUCCCUAGCAGCUUCACUCUUCCUUGCAACCACAUGGGUUGGUGUACUACAGGGGUCCUCAAACUAUGACUGUGGGCCAGAUCUGGCCCACCAGGAUCCUGAACCCGGCCUGCCCAGCAAUUGCAGAACCCACCGCUGUCUAACGGGUCUAUGGCAAAAGGAAGUACAGUGGUACCUCGGGUUACAUAGGCUUCAGGUUACAGACUCCGCUAACCCAGAAAUAGUACCUGGGGUUAAGAACUUUGCUUCAGGAUGAGAACAGAAAUUGUGCUCCAGCGGCGCGGUGGCAGCUGGAGGCCCCAUUAGCUAAAUGGUGCUUCAGGUUAAGAACAGUUUCAGGUUAAGAACAGACCUCCGGAACGAAUUAAAUACUUAACCCGAGGUACCACUGUAUGGCGUCCCGUGCGCGACCUCUGCAUCUGGUGUCUAUUGAUACCACAAGUGGUUGGUUGGUUGCGGGGAGGGGGAGCGGUGCACAUGCAAGAGAGGGAUGAUGUGAUCCUGUGCACGUGCAGCAGGCAGGCCAGCGCUUUUGCAUUCUCUACAGUCCAUGGCUGAGAGUUCCUUCAGCUGCACUGCACGAGGUGAGCAACUCAGGUGAGGCAGCUGUGUGGGGAAGGUUGGCCGCCCCCCACUUUCCCUUUUCAGCCAUUGCACUCUGAGGUGGAACAGGGAAGUGCCCAUUCUGGACCUGGGGAGCCUCAUUCCGCCGCCCCUCAGGAUUGAGGUGGGCAGCUGCUGAGGCAUCUCUCCUCCAGAUAAUGUGCAUUAUCACUAACAUUGCAAGAUAUAUUUGGAACUAGAUCCAUCCCGUUUGAAAUAAUGAAAAUACAGCGUGAGCACUGACCAUUUGCAUUAUUGCUCAGUGCUGACAUCUUUUAUUUUAGUCAUUACUCCCGUUACAUUGUUUUUGUAGCUCUGUUUAUUGGUAUUUUACUAAUAGCAAUUUUCAAUCCCUAGGAAAUCAUUAUGUCAAAAAGAAGAAGAAGAAUUGAUUCUGAAAUAUUGAAACUGAAAUAUGGAUUGACAACUCAGCAAAAUACUUUUGUGAAGCAAGAGCAGCGAAAUAAAUCAUCAUUGCGAGCAAGUUUUCAAGCUGCCAAGCUCAUAGCAUGCACUGGCAGACCCUUCGUAGAGGGAGAAUUUGUUAAAGAAUGCAUUCUUUUUGCUUCCAAAGAGAUGUGUCCAGAGAAGACUGAUUUAUUUGGUACAUUGAGUCUUUCAGGAUGUAUAGUUACAUGUAGGAUUGACGAAAUGGGGGGAAAUUUGCAUCAACAUUGGCAAAACUCAAAAAAACCUUUAUUUUUCAUUGGUACUUGACGAAAGCACUGAUGUUCAUGAUUCUGCACAACUAAUUUUCAUUUGUGGGACAAAUGAUAAUUUAGAAGUCACAGAGGAGUUUGCUGCAUUGCAAAGCAUUAAGGGAACAACAACAGGAGAGGAUAUCUUUGAAAAAGUUUGCCAAACUGCGUGAUUUGGAGCUGGACUGGGCUAAACUUGCCAGUGUGACAACUGAUGGUGCUCCUAGCAUGGUGGGGUCUAUGAGAGGAGUGGUUGUACACAUUAACCAAGAGAUGGACAAACACAACCAUUCACACGCAAUAGCCAUACACUGCCUCAUCCACCAACAAGCACUGUGUUGUAAAAAAUCACUGAAGUUUGACUCUGUCAUGAAAACUGUCGUAUCUUGUGUUAACUUCAUUAGAGCUUAUGCACUAAACCACAGUUAGUUUCAGGAAUUUCUGUCUCAGUUAAAUGUUGAUCAUGAAGAUAUUCCAUACCACACAGAAGUCCUUUGGCUGAGUAAAGGGAGAGUUUUGAAACACUUUUAUUACUUACUUCCGCAUGUUUCUGAUUUUAUGCUUAUGAAAAACAAAGACUUACUAGAGCUCAAAGAUAAUAAUGAAAAUAAUAAAUUUUAUAUAUACCCUGUAGGUACGUGGGUCCUAGGCUGCAUAGGGCUUGAAAGGUCAAAACCAGCACCUUCAACCUGACCCUGUACUCCACCGGGAGCCAGUGCAGCUGGUAUAGCACCGGGUGAAUGUGAUCCUGCGGCAAGGACCCCGUAAGGAGCCUCGCUGUGGCAUUCUGCUCCCGCUGGAGUUUCUGGGUCAGCUUCAAGGGCAGCCCCACGUAGAGCGAGUUACAAUAAUCAAGCCUGAAUGUAACCGUCGCCUGGAUCACUGUGGUCAGAUCAGGGUGGGAAAGGUAAGGGACCAACUGUUUAAUACGGCAGAGAUGGGAAAAUGCCACCUUUCCUAUGGCUGCAACCUGUGCCUCCAUGGAAAGAGAGGCAUUGAAGGUUACACCCAAGCUCUUGACAGAAGGCGCUGGCACUAAUUGUGCCCCCGCAAGAGAUGGGAUUUGGCCCCCCAACCCCAAGUCACCCCGACUCAGCCGGAGGACUUCUGUCUUUGAAGGAUUUAACUUCAACCGGUUCCCAUGCAACCAUCCAGCCACAGCUUCCAAGCAUCUGGUCAGUGUGUCUGGGGCCGAGUCAGGGCAGCUGUCCAUCAACAGAUAAAGCUGGGUGUCAUCAGCAUAUUGAUGACAACCCAGCCCAAAGCUCCAGACAGUCUGGGCAAGGGGGUGCAUAAAGAUAUUAAAAAGCAUUGGGGAAAGGAUUGCGCCCUGCGGGACUCGACACACCAAGGAGUGCUGCGGCAACAACUCCCUCCCUAGCGGCACCCUCUGUCCCCGACCUGAGAGAAAGGAGCGUAACCAUUUUCGAACUGUGCCCUGGAUCCCCAUGUCGGCAGAAUGGAAGUGGCACCUUGCCUUUCUGAUAGACAUAACGGAGCUACUGAACAGUUUCCAGUGUUCAGCCUCAAGGAAAGGGAAAGCUCAUCAGUGAUAUGUUUUCACUUGUGAAAGCGUUUCAAGCAAAAUUAGACCUCUUUAAACAAGUGAAGGAGGAAAACUUCUGCCAUCUCCCCACGAAACGUGUGGAUUUACUGGAAAUGUUGCAAAAGGAGUUUGAAACUCGAUUUAAAGAGCUUCACAUCCAUGAGCAGGGCAUACAGCUUUCCCGAAACCCAUUUUCAUUGACUUUGAAACUGCUGAUCCAAUUUAUGAAGUGGAAUUGAUCGAACUACAGAAUUGUGACUCUCUGAAAGACGCAUUCAAAUCAAGCAGGCUCACUAAUUUCUAUGCAUCUCACCUCUGAGACAUCUGAAUCUCAGGAAUCAUGCCCUCAAAUUUACAACCAUCUUUGGCAGCACCUAUGUCUGUGAACAAACUUUUUCCCGAAUGAAACAUCUAAAAUCCCCAACCGGACCCAGACUAACUGAUGGACGCUUGCAGCACCUGCUAUGACUAGCAGUGACAGAAAUGGAACCGGACACUAUCUCAUUAGCCAAAAGCAGGCCCAUAAUUUCCAUUGAAAUAUAAGUUUAUAUUGAUUAAAAUUGUUCAUUUUAAAUUUUGUAUUUUUCCUGUUUUUAGUGCACUACAAAUAAGAUAUGUGCAGUGUGCAUAGGAAUUCGUUCAUUUCUAAAAAUUACAGUCUGGCCCUCAAUAGUGUCUCAGGGACAGUGAACUGGCCCCCUGUUUAAAAAGUUUGAGGAUCCCUGCUCUGUCUUUUGCUUACCUGUCUUAAGGGUGUAUUUUUGUAUAAAUAGGGUGAGCCUGUGACCUGGUUUCAGGAAUUGAAAUUUCAAAAGGAAAUGCAAAUAGGCAUCAAAAUGCGAGAAGCAGCCCAGAGACAUUGGCACUCAAAUUUCUCCUUUUUCUAUUACAUUUCUCCCACUUUUUUGGGGGGGGUUCAAUAACGGCUGGGUGAAAAGUGUACAGGAAUAAGAAAUUGAAGUCCCAAAAAAUAAAUGCAGGAACCUAAGUGCAUUAUCACACGUCCCCAAGCACCAAAACAUGACAUCCCCUUUAAAGUUUAAAAUGACCAUAUUUUUCCUUUGCAAGAGUGGCCCCUACAGGAGCUCCUGCUGCUACUGCAGCCUUACAAAAUGGUGCUUGCUGACACCUUAUCCGUCAGCCAGCAAGGGGUCAAUUAUUACUCCAUUUCCAGCUUGUGUCUAAAUGAAGCGUUGUUUGCUGAAUCUAGAAGACCCUCUCUCUCCUGGGAGACAGGAGCUCCUGGAUGGAUCACCUGUCUGACAGGUGCUUGCCAAAAAUAGAGCAGACUUGCAAAGCAGGAAUGACUGGGGUGGCAAUCAUCUCUGGGGCCACAGUGCUUUCGCCAUUCCUAAAGGAUGUACUAGGAAGGACCAUUAUCAAGGAUCCUAAUGGACAGGUGGGAAGUCAGGCCCUCAAAUUUUGCUGGCCAGUUCUUCCUUCCGUGACAUUUUGUUAUGGUUUGGGGUGGCCUUUCUGCCAAAUAUGGGGGGAUGCUUUCUGAGGUUUUAAAAGGUGUUACACACCUUUGUGGGCGUCCCUCCUCACCUCGCAAUUUGGUGGGGAGACACCGCUACCAGGCCAAUAAAGAUCAAUAGUUUGUGUCCUUUUCAGGUUUAUACAUUUCCUUAAUUUCACAAUCAUUUUAACAUUUCAAAACUUGACUUCCUUCGUUGUAGAUUAUCUGUAUUUGUAUUUUAAACCAAUAAAGUUUUACCAUGGGGGGGGGAAUCAAAACUUCCUUCCCCCUCUUUAUGCGGUUCCUUAAAACUAUUAUUAUUAUUAUUAUUAUACCUUCUGCAUAUGCAAAUUCAUUUAAUUUGCCCACCUAUUUUAAAUAUAUAUACUCUUCUCAAACUGCAGGUCAUUACAACAAUCCUGCUAAUGUUUUUAUCUGUUUGCAAUUUAUCUGUAAAUAUUCAGUAAACCAUUUCCAUUCUUCUAUAAAAGGUUUCUUAUCUUGAUUUCUUAUUCUUCCAUAUUCCAUAAGUUUUUGUAUCCAUUCUUCCUUUGUGGGGACUUCCAUGUAGG